UACGUAGGGGGCGAGCGUUGUUCGGAAUCACUGGGCUUAAAGGGCGCGUAGGCGGGCCAUCAAGUCCGGGGUGAAAUCUUUCGGCUCAACCGGAAAAGUGCCUUUGAUACUGGUGGUCUCGAGGGAGGUAGGGGCAUGCGGAACUUCCGGUGGAGCGGUGAAAUGCGUAGAUAUCGGAAGGAACGCCGGUGGCGAAAGCGGCGUGCUGGACCUCUUCUGACGCUGAGGCGCGAAAGCUAGGGGAGCAAACAGG
rnacentral:rRNA from 1 species